ACGCUCGACACCUACUGGAGGCAGCAGUGGGGAAUAUUGCACAAUGGGGGAAACCCUGAUGCAGCAACGCCGCGUGAAGGAAGACGGUUUUCGGAUUGUAAACUUCUGUUCUUAGUGAAGAUAGUGACGGUAGCUAAGGAGCAAGCCACGGCUAACUACGUGCCAGCAGCCGCGGUAAUCUGAGCGGGCUGGCAAGGC
rnacentral:rRNA from 1 species